rnacentral:rRNA from 1 species
UACGGAGGAUGCAAGCGUUAUCCGGAAUGAUUGGGCGUAAAGCGUCCGCAGGUGGCAAUGUAAGUCUGCUGUCAAAGCGUCUGGCUCAACCAGAUAAAGGCAGUGGAAACUACAUAGCUAGAGUAAGGUAGGGGUAGAGGGAAUUCCUGGUGUAGCGGUGAAAUGCGUAGAGAUCAGGAAGAACACCAAUAGCGAAGGCAGCUCGCUGGGACGUUACUGACACUGAGGCGCGAAAGCGUGGGGAGCGAACAGG